UACGUAGGUGGCGAGCGUUGUCCGGAAUUACUGGGUGUAAAGCGCGUGUAGGCGGGAGGCCAAGUCUGUGGUGAAAUCGCUCGGCUUAACUGGGCGGGGUCCAUGGAAACUGGUCGCCUGGAGGUCGGUAGAGGCAAGUGGAAUUCCCGGUGUAGUGGUGAAAUGCGUAGAGAUCGGGAGGAACACCAGUGGCGAAGGCGGCUUGCUGGGCCGGACCUGACGCUGAGACGCGAAGGCGUGGGGAGCGAACGGG
rnacentral:rRNA from 1 species